rnacentral:rRNA from 1 species
UACGUAGGGGGCAAGCGUUGUCCGGAUUUAUUGGGCGUAAAGAGCGUGUAGGCGGCCAGACAAGUCUGCUGUGAAAACUCGAGGCUCAACCUCGAGCUGUCGGUGGAAACUGUCUGGCUAGAGUCCGGAAGAGGAGAGCGGAAUUCCUGGUGUAGCGGUGAAAUGCGCAGAUAUCAGGAAGAACACCUAUGGCGAAGGCAGCUCUCUGGGACGGUACUGACGCUGAGACGCGAAAGCGUGGGGAGCGAACAGG